rnacentral:snRNA from 1 species
GUGGUCACUUUGGCAGCACAUAUACUGAAAUUGGAACGAUAGAGAAGAUUGGCAUGGCCCCUGCACAAGGAUGACACGCAAAUUUGUGAAGCAUUCCAUAUUCUU